rnacentral:rRNA from 1 species
UACGUAGGGGGCGAGCGUUGUCCGAAGUUACUGGGCGUAAAGCGCGCGUAGGCGGGCUCUUAAGUGAGUGGUGAAAGGUUCGGGCUCAACCCGAACACUGCCUUUCAUACUGGGAGCCUUGAGUGCGGGAGAGGCGAGUGGAAUGGUCGGUGUAGCGGUGAAAUGCGUAGAUAUCGAUCGGAACACCCAUGGCGAAGGCAGCUCGCUGGCCUGCAACUGACGCUGAGGCGCGAAAGCGUGGGGAGCAAACAGG